GAGUUUGAUCCUGGCUCAGGAUGAACGCUGGCGGCGUGCCUAAUACAUGCAAGUCGAGCGAACGGACGAGAAGCUUGCUUCUCUGAUGUUAGUGGCGGACGGGUGAGUAACACGUGGAUAACCUACCGUAUAAGACUGGGAUAACUUCGGGAAACCGGAGCUAAUACCGGAUAAUAUUUUGAACCGCAUGGUUCAAAAGUAAAGACGGUCUUGCUGUCACUUAUAGAUGGAUCCGCGCUGCAUUAGCUAGUUGGUAAGGUAACGGCUUACCAAGGCAACGAUGCAUAGCCGACCUGAGAGGUGAUCGGCCACACUGGAACUGAGACACGGUCCAGACUCCUACGGGAGGCAGCAGUAGGGAAUCUUCCGCAAUGGGCGAAAGCCUGACGGAGCAACGCCGCGUGAGUGAUGAAGGUCUUCGGAUCGUAAAACUCUGUUAUUA
rnacentral:rRNA from 1 species